rnacentral:rRNA from 1 species
UACGUAUGGAGCAAGCGUUAUCCGGAUUUACUGGGUGUAAAGGGAGCGCAGGCGGCAGCGCAAGCCAGAAGUGAAACUCCGGGGCCCAACCCCGGAACUGCUUUUGGAACUGCGCAGCUGGAGUGCAGGAGAGGCAGGCGGAAUUCCUAGUGUAGCGGUGAAAUGCGUAGAUAUUAGGAGGAACACCAGUGGCGAAGGCGGCCUGCUGGACUGUAACUGACGCUGAGGCUCGAAAGCGUGGGGAGCAA